rnacentral:lncRNA from 1 species
UGGGAAUAAUAAUUAAAAGAGUAACUAUGGGCUUAAAUAAAUUAUGCUCACUACUUAAAAGAAUUAACUAAAUUAGAAGCCCAAUUCAAUUAAUAAAAUUAAGACCCAAAAUAAAGCCCAUUCCUAAGCCCAUCUAACAAUCCCUAAUUAAACUUACACACACCCCAACACUCCCACGACACAAACACAUAGCAGAUUCACUAAAAUUCACAACUCACGCCUCUUCCCUCUCAGCCGCUCUCUCUCUUCUCUCCACCCCUCUAUCUCCCUCUUGGCCUCCUACCACCGCGCCACCGGACGGCCGCCACCGCCGGAGGCCGGCGGCUCCUACCUCCUCACUCUCCUUCCCUAUUUUCCUAUCUCCCUUCAUCCUCCCCUGCCCCUGUCCUCGCCGUCCCAGCCACCUCCUCCUUCGACCGGAACAGCACAGCAGAGCCGAGACCGCGCCGCCACCGCCACCGCCACCGCGACGGACAGCAGCACAGCCCAAACGCUUCUCCCUCCGCCCUGACCGGUAAUACACAGCAGCGGCAGAGACCACGGUGCCGCUGCCCCUGUUUCCUCUCGCCGUACGCCGCCCCUACUUCUCCCCGCCACCGCCUCUGCACCAACUCCUCCCCCAAAGUUCAGUCCAACUCUCUUUUAUCAGUCUAGAUUUUCAAAAUUUCUUUCUCUGUAAACUAUGGAUAUGAAUUCUAUUUGAUUUCAUAUUAAAUAUAAAUGAUAGAUUUGAUGAUGUAUGCAUGUAUGAAUUUGGAAAUCUUGGUUUUGAGCAGAGAAUGAAGAAACAAUUUAGAUGCUGAAAUAAAAUUUCAUAGUAUCUGCACAAAAGAAAUCAAAAUUACCACUUGAGCGAAAAUGAACAGACGAGAAGUUGGUGUAAGAAAACAAAUGAGGAAAACGAAUUGGGGAUGAUGAAUUGAGGAUGAUGGAUUGAGGUAUAAAUAGGAGAAGUUACGUCGGCAGCAAUGAGAAGUAAAUACUUGUUCGAUGCUGUAGAAUUCAAAGUUUUGAAUGUGAAAGAAAUCAAAUUUCCUGCUGUAGAAUUCAAAGUUUGAUGCUGUGGAGGAAUCAAAAAUCAACAUUUGCUGCAGAUGAUAACAGAUGGUGGCUGAGGAAAUUUACACUUGCUUUCUAAGUUUCAGAAUAAAAUAUAGCUGAAGAUAAAAUCAAAGUUUGCUGAUCAAAGUUUGCUGCUGGAAAUCAAAGUUUGCUGCUCAAAGUUUGCUACUGUAGUGUUUGUCAAAUACUUACGUAAAGGAAUUUAUCCAAAAUGAUUUCUUAUAAAAGAUUUUCUUUUUAAGGAAUUUUGGUUAUGUGCAUAUGUACAGAGGGGUUUGGUUUAAUGGGCUUGUUUUGUUUCACAAAAUAAAUGAGAAUGAAAGAAAAACGUAGUAAUUUGCUGUGAUGAAUUAAAACAUGAAAUCUCACAGAAACAAUAAAAUUGCCAAUUGAAGUUUUGUGAAGGAAAUAUCAGAAAUGAGAAGUCUGUUAACGUGAAUGAAAUUUGUGCUCUGGAAAAUUUUGAUGAAAUGAAACCUAAAUUUUGAUGAAAUGAAACCUAGCAGGUUAUUUGGGUGAAUUUAAAUGUGAUAGCAGUGAGUGAUACGUGGCUGAAUAAAAUUAGGUGACUGAAGGUGAUUAAAUCCGAAUAUGUGGCUAAGGAAAAACUGAACCACGUAACAUCUCAUUUUAAUUAAAGAAAGACAUAUGGACUUAUAAUAAUAAUUGGGCUUUAAAGAUGAUAAAUGGGCUUUCAAAUAAUAAAAUUUUAACCCAAUUA